AGAUCCAGGAAAUAUUGGCAAGGGAAAUCCAGCAGAAUUUAGUCAGACUAAAUGUGGAAGAUUAAAGACAAAGAGGAGGUAAAGAAGAAACAAGCCUGCUCACGUCUGUGACGGGAAGGAUCAUGAUGGGGUUUUCAACAGAUUGACAUCAUUAUACACGAGGAUCUCACUGAAUUUGUCUCCAUGAAGAAGGAAGCAGGGAGUCCAGUUUUGAAGAGAGGAAAGAUGGGUGGUAGAAGACCCAGAGCCACGUAGUCGUAUCCUGUGGGCUGACUUGCUCUUUCUUUUACCUUGCCUCUGUAUGGACUUGAUAAUGUCUUCUGUACGGGCAGAAGCCUUGGUAUGGUCCAAGUGUAAGUAUGGAAGCCACCAGUGGCUGAGAUGGACUUCCAAAGAUUCUGUUAGGAGUCUCGAUGCUCACUCUUUGAGGUAGCUGGAGUUCCUAGUUCUGCGGAAGCUGCCCUAUGCUCAACCAGGUUCGUGUCUGAGGUGGGGUAAGAAUAUUCUUUAGCAUGGAAGAGACCUCUGUAUCCUUUGGAGCCAAAAGAAGAGAAUGGUUCAUCCUCUGGAAAGUGACUUCUGCUUUAUUUGAUUACAUUUUCUGUUUGUAAUUUA